rnacentral:rRNA from 1 species
AGCGGAAUAUUGGGCAAUGGUCGCAAGACUGACCCAGCCAUGCCGCGUGCAGGAAGACGGCCCUCUGGGUUGUAAACUGCUUUUAUCUGGGAAGAAAAAGUCCAUGCGUGGAAAAUUGCCGGUACCAGAUGAAUAAGCACCGGCUAACUCCGUGCCAGCAGCCGCGGUAAUACGGAGGGUGCAAGCGUUGUCCGGAUUUAUUGGGUUUAAAGGGUGCGUAGGCGGCUGAAUAAGUCAGCGGUGAAAGACUUCGGCUUAACCGGAGCAGUGCCGUUGAUACUGUUUAGCUUGAGUGUUGGAGGGGUACAUGGAAUUGAUGGUGUAGCGGUGAAAUGCAUAGAUACCAUCAGGAACACCGAUAGCGAAGGCAUUGUACUGGCCAACAACUGACGCUGAGGCACGAAAGUGUGGGGAUCGAACAGGAUUA